rnacentral:rRNA from 1 species
AACGUAGGAGACAAACGUUUAUCCGGAGUUACUGGGCGUAAAGGGCGUGUAGGUGGUUUUGUAAGUCUGGCGUGAAAUUUUUCGGCUUAACCGGGAAAGGUCGUCGGAUACUGCAAGGCUAGAGGACGGUAGAGGCGUGUGGAAUUCCGGGUGUAGUGGUGAAAUGCGUAGAGAUCCGGAGGAACACCAGUGGCGAAGGCGGCCCGCUGGGCAGUGGCUGACGCUGAGGCGCGACAGCGUGGGGAGCAAACAGG